CCUCGCCGCGCUCAAGAACCGCGUCGACAGCUCCGACACGACGACCGCCUGCACCCGCGGACGCCCGCGCCGCUCCAUUUAUCCGGCCCACCAUCCAUCCAUCCAUCAAUUAUACCCGCACACACAUACCGCACGCACCACCAAUUGGCCGAGCUCGUCGCGAGUUCACGUUCACAAACCAACAGCUCCGUCCGCCAUACCUCCUCCAUGCCAUGCAUGAUGAACUCUAUACAGACCAAGAUCGAUCGACGCCGACGGCAACAGUUUUGCUACGUAACGUUGUUGUAAAUCGUUCGUGAGGCACUUGACUAGCUUCUGCUAUUAUGUUUGUACCAAGUGUACUGUAAUACUACUAUGGUACUGUACAAGCUGCAGAUUGUAAUUCUAUGAUGAGGUUCAGGGUUACAUACAGUGCAAAGCUCUGUAAUCCCAGAGUAAAAAAAAAAAAA
rnacentral:sRNA from 1 species